CAGCCGCCACGGUAAUACGAGGGGGGCGAGCGUUGUUCGGAAUUAUUGGGCGUAAAGGGUGCGUAGGCGGUUUGGUAAGUCUGAUGUGAAAUCUAUGGGCUCAACUCAUAGUCUGCAUCGGAAACUGCCGGGCUUGAGUAUGGAGAGGUGAGUGGAAUUCCUGGUGUAGCGGUGAAAUGCUUAGAUAUCAUGACGAACUCCGAUUGCGAAGGCAGCGUACGGGAGUGUUACUGACGCUUAAGCUCGAAGGUGCGGGUAUCGAACAGGAUUAGAUACCCGAGUAGUCCCUGUCUCUUAUACC
rnacentral:rRNA from 1 species